rnacentral:rRNA from 1 species
CUCCUACGGGAGGCAGCAGUAGGGAAUUUUCGGCAAUGGGGGCAACCCUGACCGAGCAAUGCCGCGUGAAUGAAGAAGGUCUUCGGAUCGUAAAAUUUUGUUGUUAGGGAAGAAUAGUAGAUAUAGGAAAUGAUAUCUAUGUGACGGUACCUAACUAGAAAGCUCCGGCUAACUACGUGCCAGCAGCCGCGGUAAUACGUAGGGAGCGAGCGUUAUCCGGAAUUAUUGGGCGUAAAGCGUGCGUAGGCGGUUUAUUAAGUCUGAUGUGAAAUCCCCCGGCUCAACCGGGGAGGGUCAUUGGAAACUGGUAAACUUGAGUACAGUAGAGGCAAGUGGAAUUCCAUGUGUAGCGGUAAAAUGCGUAGAUAUAUGGAGGAACACCAGUGGCGAAGGCGGCUUGCUGGGCUGGAACUGACGCUGAGGCACGAAAGCGUGGGGAGCAAACAGGAUUAGAUACCCUGGUAGUCCACGCCGUAAACGAUGGGUACUAAGUGUUGGCAGAGAUGUCAGUGCUGUAGUUAACGCAUUAAGUACCCCGCCUGGGGAGUACGGUCGCAAGACUGAAACUCAAAGGAAUUGACGG